GCAUUCAUAGUGUAACCGUAGCACAUUCGGCCCGUAUUCGAGAGGUCCAGGUUCGACUCCUGAUGAGGGCA
rnacentral:tRNA from 1 species